GACGAACGCUGGCGGCGUGGAUUAGGCAUGCAAGUCGAACGGUAGGAUACCUUCGGGUAUCUGAGAGUGGCGAACGGGUGAGUAACACGUAGGUGAUCUACCCUCAAGAUUGGGACAACCCAGGGAAACUUGGGCUAAUACCGGAUGAAAGCAGCAGUGAUGUUGUUUGAAAGGUGGCGUAAGCUGCCGUUUGGGGAUGAGCCUGCGCUCUAUUAGUUAGUUGGCGGGGUAAAGGCCCACCAAGGCGAUGAUAGAUAGGCGGCCUUAACGGGUGGUCGCCCACACUGGGAUUGAGAUACGGCCCAGACUCCUACGGGAGGCAGCAGUCGAGAAUAGUCUACAAUGGCCGAAAGGCUGAUAGUGCGACGCCGCGUGAACGAAGAAGCCCUUCGGGGUGUAAAGUUCUUUUAUAUGUGAGCAGUGCUUUCUAUGUGAACAGCAUGGGGAGAGAGAUAUUAGCAUAUGAAUAAGCAACGGCUAACUACCGUGCCAGCACGG
rnacentral:rRNA from 1 species